GCUGCGUCGGCUGCUUCGCUCCGUCGCAUCUCCGUCGUCAGCCGGGUUUCUUCCCGAUGCUCCCACUUCAUCCCGUUCUCGAAGCAAGGUUCGCGAAGACGCGAAUGGUUACGUUGCACCGGGCAAGAAAACGACCACCGAGGACCUCCUCCACAUUCCUCGUUUCCGUGCGGACACCUUCGAGACGUUCGCCAGCGGUGACCGUAGUUGUGGACGCCACCAGUCUGCUGUACCGACGCUUCUGCUUCCCGUCGCCGACGGGACCGAGCGAGGAGCCCGCGAAAAAGUCCUGCAGCGAGGUGCCAUACAACUGCCUAUUUCCUGCUCCCAGCAGCAUGCCAGACUCUGAGGCGACAUACUCUCCAUCCAAGCCUGCCAAAGGUUUCGAGAGACAUCCUGAAGAGGCUACACCUUGGCAAAGCAGCUCUCCUGUUGGUCUUUAAUAAAUGGGGCUUUCAUCGAGGAGGUAGACUGGAACUGUAUAAACCAAACCCGGGCAACUGUGCAUGAGAGCACAAACAUUUAACACAAGUUCGAUGCCAUUCAGACUUACAAAGCUAAACAUAUUUUCCAGUCUACACUACGGUUUCCCCUCCCAUCUGCAACAUUGUCUCUUCUCGAUAAUUCACUGGUUCAUGUCUUGCUAACCUUUGAGGAAACAAAUGAAAAUAGUUUUAGCCAAAGCCGAAUGAUUAUGCAGAGGUUUGUUCGGAGAGUAGAACUUUUGCCAAGCACCAAGAAGCAUGCUGGAAGUGCAUUUACACACGGCAUCUGCAAGAGUAACUGUUGCAGAUGCCAAGACAUGCGCACUCAGCAUUUGCCUAUGUCCCCACCAUUCUCCUUUGUGCCUUGGCAAAAAGGUUUGAUUUCAACCACUGAAAGAAAUGUCAGUUAUUCAUUUACUGGGUAACUCGU